GGCAGCACUCAACUGGUGGCAAAACUACUACGAUACUUCAUUUUCACUCCCCCUUUCGACUCGUUUCCGCAAUCUCUCUCAGUGUGAGCCAUCUACGCGUUUCUCUUAUCUCUUCCUCGAGAAUGAGAUAGACCAUUGGAGAAACCCUAACACAAUAGCCUGAUACUCUUUCAUUUGCUAAGUUAUAUCAGCUUGAAUCAUGAAAUUAAUGGAGAAUUAGGAGUUGACUUCUAGGAUGAAAUUACGUGGAAAAAAUAAUUGGAGAAACAUGAGGAGUUUUAUCACCAUCAAUCAUGAUCUAGAAUCUCUGAGCUUCCUUGAACUUUUGAGACUCUGAUUCAGGUAACUGCCCACAUGGAAAGAGCAUGUGUCAAGAGAAAGCAAUUACUUUUGAAUAGCUGUGUGUGUUUUUGUCCUCUGCAUGAACUUAAUCCUAAAAGUUGACAUUUCACAAAAUCAUAUGCUAAGUUUACAAACAAAAACAUAACAAAGUUGUUUGCAGUUUCGCCUAGAUGAACUUGGUUUGAUUUGAAAGUGCUUGCCAGCAUAAUGCAUUGACUUCAUGACUGAGUUAUAUACAUUUUAUUUACAUAAUUGACUUAAAUUGUUUUUCACCUGAUAAGUAUAGAGAGCUUAUUUUCUAUUUAAAUUUUCUAUGAGGUAACUUUAGAGAUAAAAAUGUUAAUAAUUUAAAUUUGACUAUUCUCUAGAUACAGGAAAAAUGACAUACUAUAGAGUAAUGAUUAUAAACCUUCAUGAAAUUCAUUAAUUAAUUUUUGAAAAUAAUGUUUCUUGCUUAAUCCUCAAUCUACUAUUUAUCGGUGUGUAAUUUUCCAAUGUAAGAUUUCACAUUGUCACCAAUAGUCCAUUGAGUAUCUUAGUAUGAAGAUAUUUUCUAAAAUUAAAGAAUGUAAAGAAAGUUUUAAAUAAAAUUUCAUACAUUCUCGCCAAGCUUGUAUAAUCAUUAUUAAAUUGAAUGUGAUUUUUCAGUGUCUGUAUGGUAGCCAGAUUUAAAUUGUCGACAAUUUUAUCACUGGGGUUAUCUUGUAAGGAAAUUUCAAUAGAAGAUAAGCUCUCUAUAGUCAUUUAAGUAGAAAACCAUUAAUGUCAAUUAUGCAUUCAUGAAUGUACAUUCCAACUAUGAAGUGAGGGACAAGAAUAUUCAAAGUCGUCUAAGCUCAUCUAAACAAAACAUGAGACAACAAAAAUACUUUGUUAUUCUUUUGUUUACAUACUUCGCAUGUGAAUUUUAUUAGAUGUCAACUUUUAGGGUCAAGUUCAUAUCGAGGAACAAAUUCUAGUUCUAAGGCAAGUGCUAAUUAGCAUGUUUUGAGAGAAAGGUUAUAAUAUCAACUUCAUCAAAUUAUUGCAAGCCUUGAAAUAUGCAAAUAACUUCAUCAUAUUAGAGCUUUGAUAGAAAAUCUUCUAUCAAUUGUCGCUGAAGAAGCAGAGGUGGAGGAAUAUGGUAACUCCAUGCCUUCUAUUCAUUUUAUGAUACAUGUUUUGGUAGAGGUAGCUAGUUAGUAACAAAGGAUCGUGUAUCUGUGAUGUACUCCUUUAAUUGUAGCUGGCAUCAUAAAAUAAAUAAGUUGACAACUGUUUUAGACAAAUGUUGUAUGGAAAAUGACCUUGAUAUUGAUUAUCCUCUGAUUCUAGUUAUUGAUCUGGCUUACUUGUUCCAAA